rnacentral:lncRNA from 1 species
ACCCAACCCACGCCAGCCCCACUUUGUCGGUUUUACCACUGGGUUCUAGGUGAGAAGGUUUCAUUUGAAGGAAAGCUCCACUGCUUUCAAAUUUUUUGAAGAAUUGUUCUCUUGGACCAACUUAUUUGUCGUAAUCUAUCCUGGGUGUGCCAAGGAAGCCUACGUGUCGGGGACUAACCUGGCCUAACUUGCGUGUGCUGGGCUGACUCCUGAGUCCUGUGCUAUCCUGGGCUCACAGGUGCUCCAAACCCACCCAGGUGUUUUAGGAUAGCAUGUGUCUCUGGGCUAACCUGGGACAACGUGUGUGUCCCGCAUGAAUGUGUGGGGCUGGGCUAGCCUGAGAGCUAGUUCCAGGCUAGGCUGGGCUAAGCUACAUGUUCAGAGAUGGCUUGCAGGUUCUGGGCCACUCUAGGCACCUGUUCCAGGCUAAUUUGCAAGAUCUGGGGGAGCUGCCUCUCUCUGUCCUAGAGACAAGGACCAGGAAGAGAGCUCUGGUCCUAGUGCCCUCUUAGUUCUUCAACGGUGGGGAAGCUGUCCUGUUUUCCUUCUGAUGAGAACAGCCAGUACCAAAGAGCUUGGGGUUCCUUCAGGAGCAAGCACCCGGGACGGCCUCAGGAGUCCGGAGCCAGCCUCCCCCUGAACUCGUGGGGGUGGAGGAGGACACAGCCAGCUUUUGCCCAGGGCAGGCGGGGCUGGGCUGGGCAGGUGAGGGACAAUGGGGUCAUUGUGCGUUCUGGGGAGGAGGCCAGACAAUAGGAGAGCUCCCCGUCCUUCCUGAUUCUUCCUGCAGAAGGAAGUCAGGGACCUCAAGUGAGUCUCAGCUCCACCCCAGCUUCGCCAAGAGCCCCCUCAAGAAAGCCUGGCAUUCGUGCACAGCUCUGUGCCUGGCGGUGUCACCCCCAUCCACCCAUGGUUUUGGCGGAAGGAGGAUCAUCUGUCCAGUUGGCAGGUCCAGCCCA